rnacentral:ncRNA from 2 species
UUGUAUUGCUGGGGGAGCCGAAUUGGCUGAGAAGUAGACACCUACUGACCCUUAUUACUUGAUCCAGUUAGUACUGGCGUAAGGAAGCACCAAACGUCCUCC